rnacentral:lncRNA from 1 species
UUGACGGGAAGGAGUUUUUCCUAUCUAGUAUUUAGCGGCCGAGUGUGGCCUUUGUUCAUAUAUGUCUGGCCGAGUGUGGCCUUCGAACUUUGUAUGGGCCUUUUUUUGGUCGUUUUUGUCGGAACUGGCCGUUGGUGGCUUUGAACCCCUACUGCUAUGCGGUUUAUAUAAUGGAUGUUUGUUUGAGUUACUUUGUUUUAGAG